GCCUAUUAGAACUUAUAAGUUGAAACACAUCCCAAAAGCAUGUACAAAUUGAAGCAAACAAGCAAAGUACGCAAUUUCAUUUUUCAAGGCCAGUAGACAUGUACUUGCUCGCAUGGUUCGAUGCUCAAAAGCAACCGUGGCUUUGCUCAUCGAUCUUCAGUAUAGCUUGCAAGACAUGCUUUCGAACUAACCAAAACAAAUAUAGCCACACACACGCACACUUGUAAGCUGUGGUUGCCAGCAGGCUUGACUGCUUGAGCUCAAGUUUCCGAUCCUACCUGUUGUGAAGAGCAUCGGGGCAGCUCGGAAUCCGCCGCUUGUCGUCGCCGAACCGGGCGGCAACGGAAGGCGACGAAAAGCCUCCGGCGCCGCCGCCUGCAGGUAUUGGCCUAGAGCCCAGGACGUGUGACCCUGCGACGGCGACGCUUGGACGGCGGGGCACCGGAACCGCAGCUGCUAGAAGAUUAACGCUGCCAUGGAGGCAUACCCAGAAAAGGCACAUGAUGAUGACAGCUACAGAGUUCCUUCUCGGCCUCCUAUUCGCCGCCGCUCGCAUUGCAUCGACGUCCGUGAUAUCUUCCCGUGCAGCUGCAGGCUGCAGCUAGCUGCAGGAAGAGAGAGAGAGAGAGACACACACAGGAGGACGAGAAGGAAAGGAAGGAUCGAGGAGGAAGAGGAAGAGGGCUCGUUACUCGUUAGCACGCCGCAGCACAGGUGAAGCCGUGAGGGUGGGUGAGCCAUCUGUUUCUCCGCACCGAAACAAAACAAUGCGCGUGAGCAGCGGGAAUCAAGGAGUAUUGCCUGAAACGUUCCACACGAAAAACUUUGCGCGGCAUGUUAUACUAGUACAAGCCAAUAGUAGUAUGAAAAUAUUAGGAAAAUGACUCGGUGUGUUACUGGUACUCGAAGAAGCGUUCAGAGUUUUCUUGGCGAGUCAAAAGCAUUUUAAGUUUGACAAUGCUGAU
rnacentral:lncRNA from 1 species